rnacentral:rRNA from 1 species
UACAGAGGUCUCAAGCGUUGUUCGGAUUCAUUGGGCGUAAAGGGUGCGUAGGUGGCGGGGUAAGUCAGGUGUGAAAUCUCGGGGCUCAACCCCGAAACUGCACUUGAUACUGCCUUGCUCGAGUACUGGAGAGGAGAUUGGAAUUUACGGUGUAGCAGUGAAAUGCGUAGAUAUCGUAAGGAAGACCAGUGGCGAAGGCGAAUCUCUGGACAGUGACUGACACUGAGGCACGAAGGCCAGGGGAGCAAACGGG